CCUACGUGUGGCAGCAGUAGGGAAUCUUCCACAAUGGGCGAAAGCCUGAUGGAGCAACGCCGCGUGGGUGAAGAAGGUCUUCGGAUCGUAAAACCCGGUUGUUAGAGAAGAAAGUGCGUGAGAGUAACUGUUCACGUUUCGACGGUAUCUAACCAGAAGGCCACGGCUAACUACGUGCCAGCAGCCGCGGUAGUCCGUAGGUGGCAAGCGUUAUCCGGAUUUAUUGGGCGUAAAGGGAACGCCGGAGGGCUUUGAAGUCUGAUGUGAAAGCCGGCGGCGGAACCGGAGUAGUGCAUUGGAAACUGGGAGAAUUGAGUGCAGAAGAGGAGAGUGGAACUGCAUGUGUAGCGGUGAAAUGCGUAGAUAUAUGGAAGAACACCAGUGGCGAAAGCGGCUCUCUGGUCUGUAACUGACGCUGAGGUUCGAAAGCGUGGGUAGCAAACAGGAUUAGAUACCCUGGUAGUC
rnacentral:rRNA from 1 species